rnacentral:rRNA from 1 species
UGAGGAACAUGACCUUCGGCGGGGGAUAGCCGGCCCAACGGCCGGGUAAUACCGCGUACGACCACGUGGGGACAUCCCUGAGUGGUGAAAGCAGCAAUGCGCCGAUGGAGUGCCUCGCGGCCUAUCAGCUAGUUGGUGAGGUAACGGCUCACCAAGGCGACGACGGGUAGCUGGUCUGAGAGGAUGGCCAGCCACAUUGGGACUGAGACACGGCCCAGACCUCUACGGGAGG